AUGGCCACAUGUCUCCUCCUUCCCAUUCCCUCCAAACCCCAAAGCCCAAACUCUCCCAAACACCGCCACACUAAAAUCACCACCUGCUCCUCCCCAUCCUCCUCCUCCCUCACAGCCCAAUCCCAAUCCGCCAAGCGCCACCUCCUCUCCCUCAUCUCCGACCAAGACCGCGGCCUCAAGACCCAGCGAGACCCUCCCAAACGAGCUUCCAUCGUCGAAGCCAUCGACGCCUUGGCCGUACUCGGCCUCGAUACAGUCACCACCGGCGGCUCCCUCUCCGCCACGUGGCGGAUGCUCUGGACCACCGAGAAGGAGCAGCUCUUCAUCGUCGAGAAUGCGCGCUUGUUCGGUACUGCCGCCGGUGACGUUUUGCAGGUCAUAGACGUCGAGAACAAGACUCUCAACAAUGUCAUCACUUUCCCUCCUCACGGCGUUUUCUUCGUUCGCUCCGUCAUCGAAAUCGCUUCGCCUCAGAGAGUGAAUUUUAGGUAUUCUUGUUUGUUUGUUUCCACUGAAAAUGUUUACUGCAAAAAGAUUUUCUCAGAAAAUGACAAUUAAUCUCAAUUCUUUAAAAUUGGAAGUGGAAAAUUCGCCUGCUAUUUUUUCAUAUAAUGAAUUUACAGUUUUACUUUGACAAAUUUUAGCUACAAAAUUGGUUGCAGCGUUUACAACCUUAUUCAAUAUCUUUUUAUAGACGUGAAUUUUGACAAAUUUACCAUUGAAUUACAUAUUGUCUACUUGCAAAAUUUCUAGAAAAUUAAACAUCAAUAGCUAUGUCAUUUAAAUUACAAAUUUUUGUGGUUUAGAAUUAUAUAUAAAAUAUAAGGUUAUUGAUCUUAUAGUAAAUAAUAUCAGAUUGACAUAAAAUUUGAUGUGUAUUAAGAGGUGCAUUAAGAGGGUAAAAAAUAUGCAAAUUAAUGGUUAGGUUUUUAAAAUAUGCAGUAAUGUUUAUUUUAUUAAGUAAGGCGCUACAACAAAUUUUGUAGCUAAAUUUUGUUUUUUAUGAAGUAAAUCCAAAAUCCACAUGCUCAUUGAAAAAAGUUUAGCUCCUUUGUUUUUUAUGAAGUAAAUCCAAAAUCCACAUGCUCAUUGAAAAAAGUUUAGCUCUAAACUGGUUUGCAGAGAAAUUCUUAUAACCAACUACGUCACAUGAUUUAUUUAAUGAGUCACAUGAUGUGUUUAAAUAGCACACGUGUAUGGUUCUAUGAAUCUCCUCGUAAUGAGUUGGAGGAGAUAUCUCCAAACCAGGUUGGUGAAAAACUUUGUCCAAUUCGAUUUCAGAUUGACAAUGAGCUUUUAAGUUCAAGACUACCAAUUGCAUGUGGAAUUACUUAUAAAAGAAAAAUUACAAGUAUGGUAUAAAGAUUUCAUUUGAUAACAUAUCCCUAAAAUGAUGUUUGUGUCAGAUUUACAAGCGCGGUUCUACGUGGGAAGAAUUGGGAAUUUCCGUUGCCGCCAUUUGGGCAGGGUUGGUGAGUCCUCACUUUUUGAUCUCUUGGGUGAUUUUGCUAAUGAUAUACUUGUGGUGUAAUUGUUUUUGUUUUUGCUAAUCAGUUGAGGUUGUGGGUUCAAAAUCCAUUGGGUGCAUAAGUGACUAAUAAAAAUUAAUAAUUGCUUGUGUUAAUUGCAUUUGUCUAUUGAUAAAACUGCAUAAAGAAUCGGUUAGGAUUAUAUACAAAAAGAAGAAAAGAACUGAUUAGGUAUAAUGGAAAUUUUUAUAUUGAAGAACAUAGAGAUAUAAACAAAAAAGAUACUAAUUAUAAAAUUAUUUUAAUUUUCAUUGAAUCUUCUAAAUUGCCGUGGUUAGAUGCAAAUUGUGUUUUAUACCUCACAUGCACGUCAUAACCUUGUGUUCCUGCGUAUUAUCGUAUUAUGUUUUUCCUUGAUGUUUGAUAUGACAUUUUAAAUUUGGAAGCCUAGAUAGGAAGUUGUAUCUCACUAAGCCAUGAUGUUUAUAAAAUUAACAGUUUUGAAAAUAUCAAAUUACUAUUAAAUUUUCAAACUCAGUUACUCUACUGCAACAGCUGUAAUGGUGUCAACCUUGGCUGAUUUAACUUGUUCAAUUACAUUACUUUCUAUUUCAAUUUACGUUGCUAGUUACUACAUUUUACUUCAUCUUUGUUAGUGCUAGUUGUUUUUGCUAGCGGUUCAUCUAUAGCUUUUGUUUGUUUGUAUUUUUGUGUGUGUGUGUGUGUGUGUGUAAGUAGUACAAGAAAUUUAUUUAAUCAAAUAAAGAAGAAACUUGAGUACAUGUGGAAUAAAUGAGAGAAUCCCCCAAAGAAUUACAAACUUCAGUUUAAGAGAUCUGUAAAGUCAACAAGGAAGCACAAGAAAUCCUGCAACAGUAGUCCAUUCAUACAAAGAGCUUAAGAAACAAGGAAGACUUUUUAGUACCCUCAAAAGUUCAAUAUAUUCCUCUUUUUCCAAAUUGUCCACAUGAGGCAAAGAGGAGGUGCACUCCAUCUGAGACUGUUCUUUUGCAGGCCAAACCACUCUUUUCAGCUAAAGUAGACAUCUAUUACCUUCUUCCAAUGCCAAAGGUAGAAAAUACAAAAGACCACAAAUCUCUUUCAAAAGAGCAAUGUGGCAAUAGAUAAUUGAUAGAUUCACUACUACACUUACACAAAAAACACCAAUUUACAUAUAUAAUAUUACUUUGAUAAGAUUAUCUGCAGCUAAAAUUUUACGAAAAUCAGCUGUCUACUCUUUCAAGGAAAUCGCCCCUUAUAAGAAGCUAUUAUAGCUUCAUAAUAAGAGUGAACACUAAAAUUUCUCUUAUGGUUCAACUUGCAACAUAUAUGAUAAAUUCCACUAGUUUCUUUACUUUGGAGUCUACACAACCUGCUCAAGGUUGAGAUUGUGACGUCCCCAUUGCUGAGUUGCAACAAUUCCCCAAGUUUCUUGUUUCUUGCUGUUUCUUGAAUUUUAGUAUCUUCCAGUACAGACAACCUUGCAAGAGCACUUUCUUUGCUUCAACUUUAGUCUCAUCAUUAGCUUUGAAAAAUCCCAAAGUAUUUUCCCCAAUGUCCAUAACCACUAUGUCCCUAGGACCAAGUCAUAUCCUUCUAAGAGAAGGAUGUCAAAGCCAGUCAUGGUAGGAAAAGUUCUCAGCCUUAACCUCACCCCAUUGCCAUUUUCCAAAGCUGAAAAACAUGACUUACUGUCCUGAAAAUAUGGAUCAAUAUACCCAUAAUGCAACUAAUAAUUAAAGACUUGGUAUUCCCCUACAAGCUCGACCCAUUCUGCUAACUAACAAAUAAAGAUUACUUAUUCAAACAAAACACUAGCACUUCCUCAUGGUUUGCACAUAACACACUUAUAGGUGAGAAAGUUGGUGGUUUAUAUAUAUAUAUAUAUAUUUGUUUCUUUUUUAUGUGCAUAUGUUGUAAGUUGUAACUUGUAUAACAUUGAAUUACAUAGCUGAUUUUGAGGUCUAUUCUCUUAACUGAUCUUAGGGUGUUAUGUAGUCUUUUAUGACAAUUUAUCGUGCUUGUUAUUGAUUAUGCUCUUAUCACUAUCUGGUUUUAUGUAUUGUGAUAUAGAAGAAUGUGAUAGGGCAGUUUGUUCUUCUGUUUUGUUUUAUUUUCAUAUUGUUGUGGUAUCAAGGGCAUGUUGUUUCUAUAGGUUUGAGACUGUGUACCUUGAUGAUGAGAUUCGAGUUGUGAAGGACAUUAGGGGAGACUAUUUGGUUGUUGACCGUGCUCCUUAUGCUUGGAAAGAAUGAAGAGCAAAAGUUAUGGUUUUUGUUAUAGUUGCCAUUAUGGGAACAAAAUGUGAGUUCACUUAUUCCAAAGCCAUUUGUUUAAAUGAAUAACUUGAACUGGUCUUCAGUUGAUGUGUGAAUGCUAUUGAUUCUGUAUGAAUUUAGAUCUAACCUAAUUGCAUAAUUUUGUUUAGCUUCAUCUUCUUUGCCAGUAGGGAGAAUGUUGUCUUCCAUUGGAGAUUGCAUUCUUUAAUUAUUGGGACCUGUACAUACAUGUCUAUCAUUUAAACUACCUUUUCUUUCCCUUCUGUUUUUUAAUUCAGUGAAUGCUAGUAAUCCAUUCUUUCCUUUAAUAAAGGUGGUCUGACAUUCCUACUUUGAUGGGGUAAAGUGGGUGGUCCUGGUGUUUGGUCACACAGGAUAUGCAUCCAACUGAACUGAAUAAAGGAAUUUUAUAAACAAACUUCAGCUCAAGGGUAAAAGCACUCUUAAACUGCAAAGCCUUCAAUGCUUUUUGCGCUAAAGUGAACCGUCUUGACAAAACUGCGUCUUAGGCACACUUUUUGAAGCUUUUUCAAUUUGUACGAAGAAGACUUUUUUUUGGAGCUUUUAUAUAUAUAUAUAUAUAUAUAAUUUUAAAAUAAAUCAUUUAUUAAAUUGAAUUAUUAGAUCUUAAUGUUAUUGAUAAAUAGUUUUGAUUUUCUAUACAAAGACAAAUUUUAUGGUGUGAUUUUAUAAACAUAAGCCCACCUCUUAACCUUCCAUUUUUAAAUUUAGAAGACAUUAUAAAUAUAUAUUGGGACCAAACAAUCUCACCACCACACAACACUGGAUUGGAAGACUACGAAGUCAAUUCCAUUUACCAGGUACAUCUCUCUCUCUCUCUCUUUAUAUAUAUAUAUAUAUAUGUAUGUAUGUAUGUAUGUAUGUAUGUUUUUCACUUUUCACUUUCCGCCUUAGUCUCUCUCUUUCUCUCUCUCUCCUCUGCUUGACCUAAUGACUCCAUUUUUUUUCCUCAUAGUCUUUCCAGUUUGUCCUGAAACCCAUAACCCCCUUUUUAUUUCUUGGUCUUUGUAGUUUGUCUCUCAAAACCCAGACCCCCAUCUUUUUUUUGUCUUGGUCUUUGUAGUUUGUCCCAAAACUUAAAGAUGAUCUAGAUGAGGAAGAUGAUGAGGGUUACAAAUCUUGUGGUGACAAUGAUGAUGGUCCUAUGUUUAAUGAGGCUGAUGCUUAUAUACUUUAGAAUUGCAUUGCAUUGCUUUUGUUAGGCAUAAAAGUCACUACUUACCAUUCUAGUGCUUUUUGAUAUUUGCCUUUUGGGUAUAUUUUGAUUCAACUAUUGUUGAUAUCCUAUUUUGGCAAUCUUAGUGGCCGAGCAUACACUGUAUGUGUGGCCACUUGACACUCUCUGGACCCAAACAAGAACCCAAGUCUAAACUAAGCCAAAUUUGCCCCAAAAAUAAAUAUUAAUGGCUGAACAUACACUGUAUACUCAGCCAUUUGGGUCUUUAAAACCCAAACCAAUCCUAACCCAACCCAAAAAUAAAAUUGGUGCCAGAACAUAUACCAUAUAUGUGGCCACGUAAGUUCUAUUGACCUUUCAACUCUUCUCAGCUCAAAGUAAAGCCCAAAGGAUAAAUGGUACACUACAUGCAUGGCCAACAAUGCUCACCAGCUCACCAGCCAAGGAUAUAUCUCCCUUCUUGGCAUAAAGAGCAAGAACAUGUGAAAAAUAAGUAGCAUGUUGCACAUAGAGUGACACCAAAAAUGUGGAAGAAAGUCUAAAUAACCAAAAUUCAGGUUGAUCAUGCAAAUAUGGAAAAUGGUGGCUAAGCAUACAUUGUAGGUACAGCCACCAAGGUCUCGGAAGCCUAUAUACCCCAUUCCCUCUUUGUUUCAUUCAUUGAGAACUUCCACAAAGAAACCACAACAGCUCUUAAUCACUACAAAGGAGUCUUAAAUGUGUUCCAAAACCUUUAGGAGUUUCAAGAAAAGUCCCUAGGACACAACAGAUUAGAUCUGGUAAGGAAGUCCUUAAAAGCAUUUGAACUCAGUUGAGCAUGUAACAUGGAGUUGGAGUGCCCCUCUCACCAAGAUUGGAGUUAGCCCAAUUGUGUACCACACACCUAUGAGGUUUCCAUCUAAUUGUUCUUGAGAAACUAAUAUAAAGGGUAGGCCUUGGACCCUCUAAACCUUGGAGUCCGUCACAAUCCAGAUAUAGAUACGAGGGCAUGAUAGAAGAAUGAUAUUGUAGGGCAAUCAAUCCCAUCGUUUGUUUCUUUUAGCAUGCUUGAUUUAUUAUUUAAUUAAUAAAAUUGUAUAUGAAUCAUUAAAAUCAAGGGAUAAUUAAAAUAUGAUAACUGUUACUAAAUGGAAGUCUUGGGGUAUUUAACACCUUCUCCACGUAUAAACGAACCCUUGAACCUAUAUACUUUAUUGCCUGACGUAUGAUAAGAGACCUUACAUGCUCUUAAUCCUGAGCUGGUAAUAAAUUAAAUUAAGCAUUAGGCGUUACACCUAGAAAUCCUAUGAUUGGUGGCAACUUUACUCCAAAUUUGAGACCUCAUCAAGGGGUCAGUCUGGAAUUUGAUAACAACAAUCAUGUACUUCAUUUUGAUCAUACAUAUCAAAUAUCAGGGUUGUUUAUAUUUUUCAAAGCACAAGAGAAUUAUAUAAAAUGCUAUGUUUGAAUUUNUUUUUUUUUUUUUUUUUUUUUUUUUUUUUUUUUUUUUUUUUUUUUUUUUUUUUUUUUUUUUUGUGUGUGUGGGUAAAAUGUGUGCCUUACUUUAAUCAGGCACUUGCUUGUGCUUUGCUCUUUGUGUCUAAGCUUUGGAGGCCUUUGCGCUUAAGUGCGCCUCACACUUUUACCAACCAUUGUUAUGCCCUCAAAAGUUAGACCAUUCAUCUCCUCCUUAGACUCCACAUUGAGAGGAACAGGAUAGCUCUCCAAUCUCCACAGGAUGCCUUUCAAAAUAGCAAACUUCUAACUUACCAAAAAAUAAAAAAAAGCAAACAUCUAGAACUCCAUUUGGCAUCCUGGAAAGAGGAGAAACAGGGUUCUAGUUCCUGGUCCUAUCGCACCUAUCUUCUUACAUUUAAUAAAUUGAAAUGUUCAUUUCUCAUGAUUUAAAAUGCCCUUUAUUAUAUUUUGCCUAAUGCUUAGGGGCUGAAAUUUUCCACUUUCAUUAUGUGCAUUUUUUUUUUCACUUUGUUCUUCCUUAAUUUCCGUAAUUUCCUUCUAAUAAUCUUUUUUUAAAACCUGUCUUCAAACUUUUCACUUGCAGAUUUUGUAUUUCUGCUUACUAUGAAGUUUUCCCAUGAACUUGCCAACACACACACACACACACUAUCCACAGAAAUUUUUUUAUCAAAUAUUUGCUUGUUUGUUUGGACAUAUUAUUGUCCCUCUCCCCUUCCCCCCCUUUUGUUUUCUUUGUUAUUCUGUGUCUCUCCCACACUCCCUGGAUCAACCAGAACAAGUUGGUUUUGAAACUGUGGUUUGCCCUUGUGUGAAAUUACAUGUUGACCUUCCCAAGGAUCAUUAUCAUAUGGCCAAUUUUUUUCCUAGAUGUUUUCUCUGUCUCAACUGUUGGAUCAACAAAAUACCAUGUUUUACUAAAUAAUAAAUAGCUGAAGUUUACGGUUCAUAAUAACACAUGCGGGUGAGUUAAUCAAUAGCAUAUUCCUAGCUUUCGAAUUUCUGAAUAACCCUCCUUUAUGAAGUAAAACUAUUGAAAUUUUAUAACAUAAGCAGUUUUGAUUCUGUAUACCUAGAUGAUGAUGUUAAAGUUGCAAAGGAUAUCCAAGGAAACUAUUUAAUUGUUGAUCUUGCUCCUUAUAGUUGGGAACUUGUGUACUAUCAUCAUUCUCAGUAAUUUGAUAAUUUUGUUUCACUGUCCAUAUUUCUUUCUUGCUCUCGCUACUGUGUUCUCUAAAUCCUCAGUUUUUUUUAAUUGGUUUCAGGUUCUCUUUAUAAGAGCAAAUGCAACUCGUGGAAAUCAACUCUCCGAACUCAUUGUUGUAAGUGUCACUCUUCUGUCAACAAAAUGGCUUGCAUCACUAUAGUCAUCAGAUUCUUGCUUUUCUAACCUAUACUUUGAAUAACAUGAAGCUGAAGUCUAUAUUGUUACAAGUUCUUUGGAACUAAGGCUGUGUUUAUAGAGAUAUGACCUAGUUCUAGUUGAAAUUUGCUGUCUUGUAAACAGGUUGGCCAUGUGCAGCUCAUUACUACUAUUUAUACUGUACUGAUGCACUUCUCAUCUAAUCAGCAUACUCUCUCUCUCCAUCCACAUAAUAAUGCAUACAUAUACACAUUCCUUUGUAUUUUAUAUUUCUAUUUAUGCAAGCUGGAAUUCGUUGAAACUUGUUUAAGUGGCUUUUUAUAAAGCUUUUGGGAUGCACAAGGAGUGCGCAUUUUGUAUGUAUGUAUGUGUGUGUGUGUGUGUGUGUAUUUUGUGUGGUGUUUGUGAGUGUUCCUGCAUGCUGGAAUCAUGAAAUUGGAGCUUGUUGGGAUAGUGGUGGUUUUUCCAAUCAAUUUUUCUGGAAUGCACAAAGAGGAUGCAAUUUGUUUAGCUCUUUGUAAAGGAACCCUUUACUAGUUUAUGGACCAAGUGUAUAUAGACCUUGAAUUUCCUAAGCACCAUUCAACAACAAGUGUUCAGAUUCUUUUCUAAUGAUUUCUUUUAAUAGCUUGCCAACAUGAUUGAUCUGAAUAAUUAUUUUGCCAUUCACGUUACACUUUCCAAUUCAUCAAGUCUUUGCCUUUGAGGUAAUCAGCAGAGGAUUUGUUAUGUGACUAAUUUAUUUUAAUUAUUAUAGGAUAAGUAGUGAUAGAGAUAUGUUUAAUUUACUCAAAUAAUUUAGUUUGGAUUAAGUUUAGUUUUAUUGAUAGACAACCGUAAGUUAAUAUUUAUGUUUAUCUAUUUGGAAGUUUGUCUUGUAUAAUUCAUAUAUUGAGAAUGAAUAAAUAAUAAUCAUGAAUUUUUAAGUUACAAAUUCUUAGCUAGUUUAAUGUGGAGGUCUAGACUUCCUCAAAGUAGUCUCUUCAUCAAAUUUGGAGGUCUUAGUUUUCCUUGAAGCAACCAAUGGAAUUUGUGUCCAUAACAGGGAUUCUCUCAAUGUGAUAUGAUUUCCUCUGUGCAUUAAAACUUAACGUUUUAUGCGUGGAUAGUGUCAUGGUAAUAUGUUUUCAUGAAUACAUAUUUGCUUUGUUACAUGAAACUUUUUGAAUUUUCACCUUUUGUGUUGCAAUGAUGUCAAUGUUGUUUGAUUUGCCACACAUGGAUAAAGAUAAUACUCCUUUCAUUAUUAUUGGUUUAAGUGUACACCUUUAUUAUUGGACUUGUUGAAUUUGGGUUAGGAUAACAUUAAUUAACAUCUCAUUGCAUUCGCACAUCCUAACAAUAAAAGGGAAUUUGUGUCCAUAACAGGGCUUCUCUCAAUGUGAUAUGAUUUCCUCUGUGCAUUAAAACUUAAUGUUUUAUGCGUGGAUAGUAUCAUGGUAAUAUGUUUUCGUGAAUACAUAUUUGCUUUGUUACAUGAAACUUUUUGAAUUUCCACCUUUUGUGUUGCAAUGAUGUCAAUGUUGUUUGAUUUGCCACACAUGGAUAAGUAUAAUACUUCUUUUAUUAUUAUUGGUUUAAGUGUACACCUUUAUUAUUGGUCUUGUUGAAUUUGGGUUAGGAUAACAUUAAUUAACAUCUCAUUGCAAUCCCACAUCCCAACAGUAAAAGGGUAACAAUGGAUGAUGUAAGAACAGGUUCAAAGAGGGAUUUGGGAUGAAGAAAGUGAUUAAAGUGCACUCUGCACAGCAUGAUAUGAUUUGAUUACGCACUAAGUAGGCUCACAAAUGUCAGUUCCAGUGGCGUGGGUCCAUCUCAUGUUGGCUGGGAUUUGCCGUUCUUAUUUGGCAUAUUUAGCAGAUGUGGCGCGAUGGCAACUUUGCUUUUACCUUACAUACGAAACAUGCUCAUUUGCGUAUUAAACAUGUAACUUCUCACUCACAAUAUGUAGGUCCUACAAUUAGGUUAGAUUCACACAUUGCGAGUAAUAUAUUAGGAAACAUAAGAGGUUAUAGGUUAUAUGUAUCAGAAACAUAAUAUCCUUUUUCAUUUUUAAAACCAUUUGUGUCUCUCAAUUGGGAAAGCAUAUCCCAAAAUUGGAAUUUACUUGAAAAAUUAAUUGGAAAUGUGAUUGGUUUGUGGUUUGGGCAAAAAAAUGUCAUUUGUAAAAUAGGUCAAUGCUCAGUCAAUGUUGCCUGUUGGUCACUAGCAAUCAUGGUGAAUAAAGAAAUUAUUGUGGGAGUUAUUUGUGGUGGUCUAUUUAUUUGUUCUAUUGGGCUUGUUUUCUAUGGAUCAUAAGGAAACGUAUUGUUAUUGACUUGCAUUUUUGGUAAUAUAAAAAACCAGAAACUAUACCUUUCAAAAAAAAAAAAAAAAAAAAAACCAGAAACUAUAGAAAACAUUUUCUGAAGAAACAAACAAAUGGUGUUUACCGGUGGUUGAAUCUAUCCUUGGGUAAGGGAUGGUGGUCGAAAUUGUUUGUAGAAUGGCUAGUGUUGGCUAUGAGGUGAUGGCAUUUUCGGCUCAGUGGAGUUUGGGUGUGGUUUAGGGUGAGACUUUGGGCUGUGGUGAUAGCUUCAAGUGUUUUGGGGUUUGAAUCUGACUACUAGAAUUGUGUGAUGGUGGACGGUUGGAGGAGAAAAGAUAAGAGGUUGAGGGGACUCACUUCUAUGUGAGAGAGAGGAAAUAUAUUCCUGAAGUACCCAAUAAAUUUAUGAGGUUGAGAAGAAAGAAAAAGAGAGGAAAAAAGAACAAAGAAGAAGAGUAAAAUGGAAGAGAAAAACAAAAUUUAGUUAGCAUAAAUAUCACAUCACAUUAACUCCCCUCAAGAAAGAAAAGAUCACAUUAACAACGAUUAAUUAAUUGAAACUUCAAGGAUCAAAAUUGACCAUUCUUUCAAAUGUAAAUGAGGUAAAAUGAAUUAAUUAAUCAUUUUUUUUUUAAAAAUUUGGUUAUAUAUAUUGAAAUUGUUGAGAAUUCUUGCACUCCAAAAACAUGAGAAAUGUUACACUAUAUGUUUUACAAUAGUUUGAGUCUUUAGCGAUUUUUAUGUAGAUCUUUAUUAUUUACCGCUCAUAACUUAUCACAUAUUGUAAAACAUUUUGUGAAAAUUUGUGUCAUCUACAUUGUUAUAAAACAAUAAUAUUAGAAACAUAUUUAAUUUCAUAACAUGUUCAUGUGGUCGAUUGGGAUUGGUUGACCUAAAGUGGUGAACCUAUGAUUGAGCAAAAAAAACGUUUUAAUCUUUUACCUCUCACGGUUUGCGGUAGAAUUUAGUGUACUGUAAAAUAAGUGUGUUCCUAGAAUUAUUGAUUGAAAAAAACAUUUGAUAGAAUCAGGGUCAGGUCCCAGCUUUCAUUAGUGAGCCCCACUGUUUCUCGUGGUUCACAUGUUAUGUGGGUCAAAGGGGCCCAGGUUGAUCAUGAAAUCGGGAUUUUUUUAUAAAAUAACUACAAAACUCAAACAAUAUUAUUAGUUAGGCAACGUUUCAAACAAAUUGCAUUUCUAACAAUUCGACUUCAAAAGAGUCGAUUUUACUGUUCAUAUCGCCUAUUUUUGUGUCACGUGAAUCAAGAAAUCGAGUCCGUUAUUGUCAGUUUUUGUACAUAGAAAUCGACUGCAAUGGAGUCGUCUAAAAUACAAAGAAAACGACUCCAGUGGAGUCGUUUUCUUUGUAUUGUAUACGACUCCACUGAAGUCGGUUUGCCCAUAAACCCACGACCUGGAACACUUAAGCUUCAGUUGCUUCAGUUGUCACAGAAGAACCCAGCAAGCGCCGACGAGCAAGCAGACGAGCAACGACGAGCAACACCGACGAGCGCCGACGAACCCAGGCGCCGACGAGCGCGACGAACCCAGGCGCGACGAACCUAGAAGAACCCAGCAAACGAACCGACGAGUGCCGACGAGCAAGCAGACGAGCAACACGGACGAGCAAGCAGGCGCCGACGAGCGCCGACGAACCCAGGCGCCGAUUUCACCAAACCCCAACGAACCCAGGCGCCGAUUUUGACCAAACUCCGGCGAAAGCUUCAGGUGAUCGGAUCGGAUCAGUGGGUACGACUCCGUUUUGGAUUUGA
rnacentral:sRNA from 1 species